GCCAGAUAAAAUUAGAAAAUAAACAAGCUCUUCAUAGAAUUCGCAUACAUAUGUAUUUAGCCAAAAUAGUUUCUUAAAUGGCGAAUGCUAAAACAGACCACGCUUUGUUGUUAGUGUUAAGCCCCGCUAAAAUUCGAAUUUCGUAAAAUUUAUUACAUUUUUUUACUGUGAAUGUGAGUAUUUUAUACUUAAUUAGGAUUGAAAACGAUUUUCGGCUCAGAAUUAAAAAAAAAACGAGCUAACAGUAAGAUGGCAAUACUCGACUUUAAUCGCCAACUAACAGCUAUCAAUAGAUUGGCAUACCUUUGUCAGUCAUUUUUCCGAUGAUCUCAUACGGACUGCCAUACCUAUUAAUUGCUUAACAACUCACAGCGCCUUUAUAAUGUAUUCCCGUAUUUUGAACAGCUGAUUUCUCAGAAAUAUAUUUUUUUAUUACAUAACGAAUUUUAUAUACAUUUUACAUUUGUAUAAAUAUAUUAUUAUUUUGCUUCUUUUUUAGCAUUCUAUAUAUUUCACUAUAUCAUUCAUUUUUGUAAAGCUAAAAUCAUCAAAUAAACUAAUAAUAUGUCUUUAUAUUACCGUUAUAAUUCACUCCAUAUAAUGUAUAGGUUUAACUUUAUGAAUAUUUCCAAAGAAAUAUCCACUGGGGCAGUGAUCUGCAGCAACCUUAUUCAGGCUUUGUCUAAAUAAUAUGAUCGAUCAGUAUUCUUCCACAAACAGAAAUCCAUAUACCAUACAUAUGUAUAAGCCCUGAACUAGAAACAUAUUAACUGAUUUUUUUAAAACCGGACUUGUUCUGAGCGCCAUCUGAUGUUCUACAUAGGUUGAUGUUAUCUUUGUUAAUACGAAAAAUUAAUAACAUCUAAGUUUAUUACAUCAAUAAUUUUUUAUAACAUUUUUUUUAUUGUUUUUUAAAUCUAUAUUUAAUUGACUCAUUGUUUCUUUUAUCUUUACAGAACAUUUCCUAGUCUUAGCGGAAUAAUCAGAAAAUAUUACCAUAGCAGUCUAUUCACAAGGUACCGACGCAUGGUGCCAUAAUUAAGCGAAUUGAUACAUCAACUCUAUUCGUAGAAUAUGAACCUCAACAGCGGUAGCACCAACUAUCUGAGCAAUCCGGAAGCUGCCAAAUAGAAUUUCUUUGUGAAUCUCUUUGCGGUGGCUGGUCACUUGAUCAAGGAAAGGUCGGUGCACUUGCGCGAAGAAAAUUCAACGAUCUACAGCCGGUAGCCAGCAUACCGAAGGAAAUCAAAUCUUCAUAAAUUCAUUGCAAUAGGGCGGUCAGGUGCUCAGCGAAACUGAUCAACUGUACACGUUGCAGAGAAGGUGUAAAAUAGAGAAGGUUCAAUUACGGACCAGAGUGUAAAUCGUUAAAGCCUAACAAAAUGCGAUGAGCGUGUUUCAUCACAGCCAGCUAGGAAGAAGAAAUUUCGACAGGGUGACGUGAACAGAAUCACGCAUUGAAUUAGAAUUAAGCUCAGAAACAUACUUUGAUAUUACAGACGCGAUAUAACCUUUUCAUUAAUAUCAUUUUGCGAAAUUUUAUGAAUGCAAGUUAGCUUUCGGUGGUCGCUAAAGGUUUUUUUUUGAUAAAGAAUUGAUAAGGAGACGAUUUAAUUGUAGUGAGUUACUAAACUGAGGGUUAGGUCUAGGUACGAAAGCUCAGUUUAGGUCAGUAUAUAAAAAUGUUACUGCAAGAAACACCUCCAAAGCUUCAAAAUGUGUUUUUAUUGCAUACAGCACUGCAGGUGUGUAUAUUCUUUUACCAUAUCAAGUAUACUUUCUGGUAUAUUUACCUCAAUUAAAUAGCUUUUGUUAUUAAAAUAGAAAAUCGUUGACAGUUUAUUUACUAUAUCUUGCUUAAAAUGAUUCAAAGACUUUUUUGUUUCGUGAAUAUUUAGUCGCUAUUAUUUGUAUAAUGUUGGGUUUGCAUUAGUGAAUCCCUACAGUCACUUGUCAUACCUGAAAAAGUUAAAUACUUUUUUUAUACGUGUCUUUAUAAUCUGGAACUAGACUUAUUGGCGAAAGCUCCUCAAUAAAAGCUCUCGAUAUUACCAUUUUUACAAUAUAAUAUUUCCAGGCCUUUCAGUAUCAUCCCUAUGAAUGAACUUGAAUAUGUCAUUGUCACUGCCUUUCCAUAUUCUGACUCUUGUGAAUCAGGGGCGCAUUGAACAACGUCAGUUUCUGGCGCCUGGGCCCUGUUAUUCUAUCGGAUAUGUUUGGUCUGUUUCGGCCUUAUUUUUGAGUUAGUGAAACUAACGCGCUGCCUAAACCUAGGACAGGAGUCAACUUCCAUUGGCUCCGAUGUUUGUCCCUGGUGUUCUCUUUUGUUUUUUCUUGGUUUGUAUUAAAUUUUUGUUUUUUGACGAAAUGCGGCUUUCUUUCCUUACCGCGCCUCCUAUACUCUUCGUUCUGCAAUGGCUUUGGCAUAUGAGUUCGGAAAUAUACUGCGUUCUAUGUUAGCUUCUGUCUCUCUGUCCAAUGCCAAAGCAGAUGGUAGGUUCUUUGGUUGUUUUGGAAAGACAAUAGAUCUAAGCGGCUUCUUUAGACCAGAAAUGAAGACAUGAAGUGCAUCGGCUCUGACCUCCUUAUUAAGCCUGCUCCGCUUUAUGAGUCAUCACAAUUUUGUUGUUAACUAAUGUUAAUUUUUUUCAACCUCUUCGUAUUACUCCAUUAGACUUAGCUCAUCUCGUCUAACCAUUUCAAGUCCUUGCCUCAAAAGCCGUAGUGAGGUUUUGGCUAACAGCACUCUGCCCUAACUCUUGCACUUGAUUUGCAUUCAUUUCAAAGUGAACUUCGUUUGGUACUUGGCUUUCGCUAACUUCUGUGUCCCACUCAAUUUCACUUUGCACUCAACUUUCAUAUUUUAUAGUGUGUCAACCCAACUCAUAUUCGUAUGUGCUAUUACCUCGCAGAAUGUGUUUAAUUUCGAUCAAACCGCAUAAAGAUUUGACGUUUAACAUUUAAAGCAAAAAUCCUUAUUAUAAAUAUAUUAUUAAUUAAAUUCUUUUAAUGUGGUAACUUGAUAUAUUCACAAUACACUUGCCGCUGACAGCGGUUUUUUGUUUUUUUUUUGUGAUGCACGAUUUGAAAUUAUUUUAAAUAAACUUACAUAUGUUAAUAUGGGCAAUAAUAUAUUUCUAAUCCUAUCUUAAUGGUGUAGAUCCUUGUUGGUUGGACGCCAAUUAAGCAUGUUAAACAAGUAGAUUCCUAUGAUAGAGAUGAUUCGGCUAGUGCCGGAGCAAGUACCUAUAUUGUUAUACUUUUAACUUCCAAAUACAAACUGAAACUUAGGAUACUAAUUGACUGCAAGCCGACUCAGCAUAAGCGAUAACGUAGACAUUUGCAGCUACCGUCAAAAGGUUUGAAUAAUUCGUACGCAUCAACGGCUGAUUGCCUCCAUGCUACGUAUUCUUCUGACCAGCCAUUAAAUUCUGUGACUGAUUUUAUUAUGUCCGGAGGAAUAUUGCAAUUGAUCUGUGGAUCCACAAAAAUUCUUUUAUAGGGCUCAACUUGUGGUACUUCGAUACUCAAGUUAUUUACCCGCUCAUUCAUAGCGUUGAGCUAUGUUUGAAAUCUUUGUUAUUGCUGCGCUAAUGCUUCGCUAACAGCGGUGACUAUUAAUGCUUGCAUUUAGCUAUCGUUGUUUUCUAUGUCCCACUCAAUAUCACUGUCGCACUCGGUUUUUAUAUUGCGUAAGGCGUCUAACCAACUCAUGUGCUCAUGUGUAUAAAACAAAUUCUUAGCAGCGGCUUGAAUUUAUUUAGAAUAGAUUUGUUUUUUUUAGAAUAAUUAUUUUAGCUGACACAAAGUAUAUGCUUGUAUAUAUCUAUUUUUUUUUAAUAACUCGAUAUUUCACAAUCACAUCUGUUAUUGUUAGUAGUUUAUAACUAAUUUGGUGCAAGUAAUUUGGAGAAAAUCUUAAACGAACUUACAUGGUAUGGAAAGUAGAGUAACUCUAACACUAACUAGGGUGUGAAUCCUUGUAUGUUGGGCGCCAGUUAUCGGGUUGCGGUCCCGCGUUGUUGAUGGAAGCCUAACAACGCGUGCUAGCUUAGAUGUGUGCAGUCAAUGCACGAGAUGAUUAUAGUUAACUUCUUUGGUCUAUUACGUUGGGAGCUUUACUUCGCUCUCUUAUAGCUGGCCGUGUGGCUCAGUGGUCACAUGCCAUGUGACAUCUAUGUGAUUGGGAAGUUGGUACUUAUCAAAAGUAAGGACUCCGGUAUGUUUUGGUUUUCCAUCUAUGUUUUUGCAAAAUUUGUACACUUUAACAACUCCUUGGUCAGAUAAGUUUUUAAUGAUUUCCUCUUCACUUAGGUCGAUGAGGUAUGGGGCAUAUAUUUUGCCUUUAAUAUAAUUGAGUUUUUCAUGGUAUUUUGUAUUCACUUCACAGACACCGUAAAAAAAUUGAACGAAUGAACUUUUCGGCGGUUGAUUUGGCUUUUAGUAAUAUAUAUUUAUUUAAUGGUUUAUUUAUAUCAACGGACGAUAUUACAACGUAUUUGGGAUUUUUCACUUCUAUUUCUUGAAAAUUAGGAAAAGGCUCAAAUUGUUUUUUUUAUUUUUUUUUCGUUUUGGUUGGAGGUCAGAUGCCAGCAAGGCAAGUCUGUUAUCCCCAAGUUUGGAAAACCCGGGGGUUCUUAUGGCUGUUUCUUAUGCCCCAAAUAAUAAGUUUGUAAUUACUAUAAAUAUUUUUUUGUACUAGAAAUUUGGUACAGUGUUUAGAGUAUGAUGCAUGUUGUUGGUAACAGUUGAUGCAAAAAAUGCGUUCGCAAUCGGCUGGGGCAUGCGGAGAAUUCAUGAAUUUUUUCGCAACUCCGUUAUUUUUAACAUGCAGAAGCAAAUUUCCAUCUCGUAGGAUAGAUAUAGAGUGGAUGUAACUGCUAAUUUGCUUAAUAGCACGAUAAAUGACAAAGCAAGAAUAGGACGAAAGGGGUUUGGCCGUGUCAGUAGCUUCAAACACUACGAAUUUUAAGUCGUCAACUUUUACCUCAGAAAGCUCUGGAAAAUCCAUAAUCGAGACAUUUUUUACCAGUUUACCGUUUUUUUUACCAGGUCCCGUAUAGAGUAUGGCGAAACGAUUCGCCUGGAUGUUUUAAGGCCCCGCGGACAUUUUGAACGUGGAAACUGAUGCGCAAUUAUUCAAAAAGUUUCCGCUAGUGAACAGUAGAAAAGAAAAAGUAAAAAAGAAGAAAAGUCCGAAAAAGGGGAAAAAAUUAUCCGAAUAACUAAAUGUAAGUAAACUCGAAAAACACUCGGAAUGCGAAAGAGACGUCUUAUCGGCGUUUCGUUUUAUAUUGUACAAUUUACGUGAAAUAACAUGCGAUUCUAUAUUUGCUAGUUCACACAAAAACUUGAUUUCUGUAUAAAAAUUGUUUGAAGUUCUUGUAUGUAUUUUAAAACUUCGAGAACUGACGACUGCUUUGGCGGAUUAUCUUAUUUCUCAUUCUCCUCAACAUCAGCAUCAUAUAAAAAUUCUUCAACAAUUUAUAAAUCAGUAAGUUCUCCAGUACAUUCCGCCUUGUCGUCACAUGUUACGAAUUUUUCAAAUGUUUCUCUUAAAUUCUUUUUGAAUUCAAAUUCAUCGGAACUUUCAAUUUCUUUAUUUUCUCCUUCAGAAGGUUAAUACAUUUUUCGACUGUAAAUUAAUAAUUAUUUAUUACUAGAGGACCCGGUCCACGCGUUGCUGCGGCUACUAUUCAAUACAGUAAAAUUGUUUGAUUUGCUCUUAUAUAUCUUUGACUUGCAGUAUUUCGAGUUCAUCGGUCUAAGUUUGUACGUCUGCUUGGUGGCAUUUAUAAAAACGAAAGUCCAACUGAAAAUAAAAAAUUACUGCCUUAUAUUUUCUGUUUAACCAUGUAUGCGAAAUUUUAAUAUUGUGUAGUCAUCAAAAGUUACCAAAAAUCGAUAUUAAGCUGUGAACUUACCGUGAUUUACAAACACUUAUUAGCAAACAACAAACUUCUUAGUCUUUAAAAAAAAAACACUUUAUCAAAAACUUAAUAAAAUUAUUGGUAGCGCUAUGUUAGGUUAUGUGUGUCAGAUUACCAUAGAUUACUAAAUAGGUUAUGCUUACAUUAAAAUGAAAUCAUCACUGGUAUUAUUAAUAUUACCGUCAAAGUCGGUACAUUUAAUUGUGGCGAGUAAUUUUCAAAAAUUAUUAGAUUAGUGCAAUAGAAUUUAAUUAUGUAACCACAUUUUCCAACAAACGAUGCUCUUUCAAUAUAGUCUAUGGCUGUGAAUGACGAUGACAUUCGUUACGCGCUUUUUUUAAAAUAUGCAGAAUUAAAUGCAUUCUUUCAAUCUUUCUGAGACAUUUUCUUAAUAUUUUUUUCCGUAAGAACCUUCUACAGAAAAAAAAAACAACAGCCAAAUCGGUCUAGCCGUUCUCAAGUUAUGGCGUGACAACGGGAAAAGGGUUUCAUUUUUAUAUAUAUAGAUAAUUUAUUAUAAGAAAAAUAAAUUGACAAUAUCAGUUAUAUAACUAACUUUUUAAAACACUGUUUUAUAGUUGUUGGUUUAACCAUCCAGAGAAUGCGCUUUAUCAUAUGCAUUGCUUGACGAAUAUUGAUCGACUUCGAAAACGCAUCAAUUGUGUUCCCUAUAGCUGCAAUUUGUUUUCUUAUAAAGUUCUGCCUAUAAUAUGAUUUGAAUGAAUGAAUUAUACCUUAAUCUAGGGGCUGCAUUAUUGACGUUGUAUUUGUUGGCUUCAAAUUUGGAGGCUUUUGUGACAAGAUGCAUUAUCUACGAACAGGAUAAUUUUUCGAUUUUAUGAAGGCACUACUAAUUUAAUAUAAUUUGAGUCCAUAAAGCUUCUGUCAUCCAUGCUUUUUGGUUGAAGUAAUACUUUAGAGGCGGCACUUUAUUUUCACAGUAAAGUGGAAUUUAAGCUUUUCCGGUCUUAAAAAUCCUUUUGUGGUCACCUAUAUAUGGUGUCCGUGUUUUCAAAGGCUUUUUUUCAAACUCCUUGUUGCACUUAACAUAUUGUUCAAACUCUGCAGGUUUGUUGAUUGUGUGAUUAGCUUAUUAUUUUACUUAGCCUACCUCACACCUAAUGCUUAUUGUUGUUCUACCGGUGUCGCUUCCGUAGAUUUGCUAUUGGUGGGUAUGAUUUCGCUUACACAGCGCCUCAUGCAGAGGUUAAUGUUACUGUUGUGACAUCAACUCCACAAUUUGACCGUGCGAUUUGAUAUCACAUUUUGUCAGCAGUUAUCGUGUGAAAUUAUUUGUGAUAACUUAUGUAAAGAAGAAGUAAAGUGAGUUCUAAAUAAGGUAGGCUGGACAGGCGUCUGUCAUAAAAUUUAUUUUCUCGUUCUUUCUGCCGGUAGUGGAUUCCUGGUCCUCUGUUUUGACAUAAAAUAAUUUUUGGGUUUUCUUAAAACAUUUGAAGUAUUAUUGGAUGGCUUUACUAUAGACGUACUACCCGGUCGGCUGUUUAUGGUGGGGUUCUUUACAUUAUAUUCUUUAGAUAAACUGAAUAGUUGAUUAAGUUUAUGUUUUGCAUUCAAAGAGAAGAGCGUAUUCUUGGGGUGUCUAAUAAAUACAUUCGGCUCCUAAAGUGUCUAAUAGCGCGCUUGUUGCCCUGAAAUAGCCCUGUUCCUUUAUUUUGUCGAUUAACAACGAUGCGUAAAACUAUUCUACGCUAACGUGUUUUUGAGAUAAGGAUUCCAAUUCAUGUUCCAGAGUCAUUAGGCGUAUUUCAGUGCCAAAUAGUUAUUUACUCAAAAAUUCGAAAGUUUAAACUUUUUAAUGCUGCACAAAACUGAAGAACAUUUAAUACUUAUCUUGCAGCUCCGAGUUAAAAUCACUAAAUAUUGAACUAAAUCACUAAAAAAUCAAUUAAAGUUUAAGAAAUUUUGCAAAAUUACACACAAUAGUUCAGAGCAAAAAAAGUACAACUUUACAGCUUGAAGUGUUGCCACGCUGUAUGUAAAAUAGACUCGACAUUAUGAAUCCAGAAAAUGAGUUGAAGCGGCUCUCCUUCGAAUGUCGGGAGACUCUUCACACAGUUAUUCAGGCAAUCUACUAAUUUCGACUAGGUCUGCUUCUGUCACUGAUGAUGCCACUAGAUUGGCGUUGAUUGUUGAUUUGGUGGCUUUUGCACUUUUGUCGCUUUCACAGUUGAAUCCUUUUAUCGAAGUGUAUUAUCUUUAAGCGUUUUAUGAUGGUUGUCUGAGCUUUAAGUCUUUUCAACAACACAUAUUACAACAGUUACUCGUACUUAAACAUUUCACUUUAGUUUACUCAAUGCAAACUUAAUCAUUUGUUGCUGUUUUAGUAAAUAAUAUACCAUAUACUUUCUUUGGCUUUCAUCGAAAAUAUUCAAAUUUUUUAUUAUAAAUUUAAAGUCUCGGGCGCCAGUAAAUGCUGUACACCGCCCACUGAUGACAAUCGGCCUCAUUGGAUUACAAAAUUUAACUCAAGAACUUUAUUUAACAAAUUUCUUUUAUAAAAAAAAAACUCGCUUAUUUGCUAUGAAUUUACAUAUGUACGAGUUCUUAUUAGCUAGUACUUAUUUCUAUAUAUUCAAUAAGGAUAACGUAACCAAUAAUCGGAGCCAACCUCAGUUUGAUCGAGAAACGGCUUACAUUGCGGCUGCACGGUUUCCGCUUUGGUUUGGUGCCGACGAAAUGUGGUGUUGUUGUUAUUGCAAUUUUUGUAAAUAAACUUUAUGUUAUCACAUCAGAUAUAAUUGAUUACUUGCCUCGUGUGAUAACGGUGACACAGAAAAGUAUUUUAAUUUUCAACAAUAUUUAUUUUGGCGCCUUCAAAAUAUAAGUUAGGUUUUCUUCUACUAAAACCCGUAAAAAAAUAUAAAGAUAUAUAUUUUUUUAGUGGAGCGUAACUCCUUUAUUGGUUGGUAUAAUAAUUUACACUCAAUCUUAAUUCUAUUUUUACUUAACAUUAAGCUUAACUUCUAAAGCAGCGCUGCCGCUGUUGUUUACGGGAAACGGUUGACAUACCGUUCCCAGAGGAAACAAGUGUUCGGUCAGCACUUUUUAAUUGAGCGUGCAAUAUGGCCUUCAGGUGAAGAGUCGUAUUGCACUUUACGUAUAGUUUGCGAGUUUGAUAUUAUUAGGGAGGGAUAGCUUAUUUGUUGCUAACUUAUACUCCUUUCGAAGCGAUACAGAUAUGCCACCCUUUUUCCAUUCAUCGAAACAUGCCAUGUAGGCAUGUUCGAGAUCGCCUUCAUUUCCCUCUGCGAAUUUGCUUUUACGGCUCUCUCUCUAACACUCGCAUGACGAUUUUCGAGCACGAUUUCCUUCACUUUUUUGAUGUUAUCGCCAGUGGUAGACGUCAAAGAACGACCGGAACGAGGCAUGUCUUCGACAGUUUCUCGACCAUCCUUCAAGGUAUGAAAGCUUAACAUAUUUUCUAGCUUUAUUCGCUUAUAUUGUGGCAAACAGAAUUUAUUUAAUAAUCAUUUCAUGGAGCGAGUGUCUAGUAAACACCUAAUUUUAUUCUUGCCUGUAGUGAGUUCUAUUAGCGGUAGACAGGUCGAUGGGUGGCUGUGAAAAUUUUUUUCUCCAUGUGGUCUACCUCAAGUGGCUUUGGUGCUGUGUAAUUAUUGCACCUCAGUCUGGAUAGCCGAUCAGGUUGCCAAUAUUGCCUGGUGAAGCGAUCAUGUUGUACUGAGUUAUGAUAAUUUUGACUGUAUUGUCCUGAGAAAGGGUCCUGAAAUACAAUUGUUUUGUGUGAAUUGUUCAGAAGAAUGGUCCUGUUGUCUUGAAUUAUUAGAUUAGAUGGCCUGAAGUUCUGAAAUUCUGUCAAAAUUGUAUCAAGGUGCGUGACUGUCUGAUGUAGUUAUCGUGGAAGUAAACCUGUUUUUUUCGAGUGUAUAAUAGGCUUCCCUCUUCUUUUUCUUUAUAUGCCUAUUAUGAAUGAUGCUACGCAAUGUGGGUUCAUUGCCGUUCAGAAAUGUUUUUAAAAUUAAUGAUUCGUUUACGCUAGGAGAAAAUUCUACAGGUCUUGUUUGAUCGAAUUAGUAUUUAUUAUUUAUUUGAUAUAGACUUUAAACUGUUGUAGUAAUUACUCACGUUAGUAUAUUUUACACUAAUGGUUUGGUUAUAGACGCCGUGGUAAGUUUCUUUAAUUCCGAAGUUUUCGAUGAGUUUAGUUAGUAGUUUCGAUGCCAUGCCAUGUUGCGGAAGGACUCAAUGUCCGGAUGGCUUGAAAUGCUGCUCCCUGAAUAUUGGUCUAGAUGUGCCGCUCGAAGAUGAACUGCUUAAAUGCCGGAUUAUCAUCAAACAGUGGAAAAAUAAUUUCUACUUCUCUCAAGGAGGAAGAGAGAUCAUAUUCUUCGUUGAUGCCAUAAUACAGUUUUAUUCUUGCGGCUUUCUUUAUUAACUCUGUUGCUGAAACUUGGUUGGCUAUUUGUUAUAUAUUUCGCUUAUUUUGUAUUUUUUUUACUAAUAUAUAUUUUAUUUUUAUAUAUAUUCUUUUUUUUUUUUAUUUUGUAUCUUAGGAUACAGUUUUCUUACUAGGACUAAGCUUCAGUUAUUGUCCGUCUCACUCUGCUUUUUUUCGGUUGGACUUAAUUUUGAUUAUAGUUCCUUUAUUGUAUAUCUUAGGAUAUAACUUUGGUAAUUGUCCUUUCACUAUAUAUCUUUAGACACAUUAUUUUUUUAACCGAAUGGCGAUCGAUCGAAAAAAGAGGGGCCGUAUCCAGUCGUCGAUCCCUUUUGUUGGUUGGGUAGAGUGGUGAGAUCGUGGGUGUGUUGGUGUUGUGAUGUGUGUUGGUAUCCCUCGGUGAGUUGUGUAAAGUUGUAUGUAUUGGUGUGUGGUGUUUUCAGGAGUGGAUGGUAUUGUCGUGGUGUGUUGGAAUGUAUCAGUGUUGCUUGUAAAGUGGUGUGUGGUGCUUGUGCAGGGAUGUUUACUGGGAAGGCUUAUAGUUCAUUUAGCCAGCGACAAUUAGGUCGAAUGUACCGGCGGGAACCAAAAAAACAAAAACAAUUCGUUUAAUGUUGACGGUGUCACUUUAUUUUACAUUCUCCCGUUUUGUUUUUACAAUUAUUCGCUUAUAUUCUGCAAUAAUGUUUACUUAGCUGAAUAUGUCAUUUGGCUAUGUCAGCGAAAUUA